rnacentral:pre_miRNA from 1 species
AUCACCUGGGGAUCUUGUUAAAAUGCAGGUCCUGAUUCAAGAAGGUCUGGGGUGGAACCCAAGGCUCUGCAUUUCUAAUAAGCUCCCAGGUGAUGUGGU